rnacentral:rRNA from 1 species
GACGAACGCUGGCGGCGUGGAUUAGGCAUGCAAGUCGGACGGUAGGGCUUUAUCGUAAGAUAGAGUUUGAGAGUGGCGAACGGGUGAGUAACACGUAGGAAUCUACCCUUAAGACGGGGACAACCCAGGGAAACUUGGGCUAAUACCGGAUGAGAGUGCGAGAGAUUGCAUUUAAAAGGAUGGCGAAAGUUGUCGCUUAGGGAUGAGCCUGCGGUCUAUUAGUUAGUUGGUGAGGUAAGAGCUCACCAAGGCGAUGAUAGAUAGGCGGCCUUAACGGGUGGUCGCCCACACUGGGAUUGAGAUACGGCCCAGACUCCUACGGGAGGCAGCAGUUGGGAAUCUUAGGCAAUGGGCGAAAGCCUGACCUAGCGACGCCGCGUGAGGGAAGAAGGCCUUCGGGUCGUAAACCGUCUGUCAUGGGGACGAAGAAAGUGACGGUACCCAGGAGGAAGCCCCUGCUAACUACGUG